UACGGAGGAUCCAAGCGUUUAUCCGAAUUACUGGGCGUAAAGCGCACGCAGACGGCCUGUCAAGUCGGAUGUGAAAUCCCCGGGCUCAACCUGGGAACUGCAUCCGAAACCGGCAGGCUAGAGUCUUGUAGAGGGGGGUAGAAUUCCAGGUGUAGCGGUGAAAUGCGUAGAGAUCUGGAGGAAUACCGGUGGCGAAGGCGGCCCCCUGGACAAAGACUGACGCUCAGUAGCGAAAGCGUGGGGAGCAAACAGG
rnacentral:misc_RNA from 1 species